ACGUCUGUCACAGCAGCAUUCCAGCUUUGGCACAUGACACAGGUAAUACGAAUCGGAAAAACGCCUCCGAGAAUGCCCGUGUCACUGGAUUACUGUCCCGGAAAUCAUACUUCAGACACCACAUCGUCGAUCACGAGCAACGUUUUGGAAAGCAACGAAUCCGUGGAACCGUUCUUCCUGCUUCGUCUGUCACCCUUGUGGAGCAGUCUUUUUGCGCUUCUAGCUACUAUAUUCAUUGGCAUGCUGGUGAGCGCUAUCACGGGCGAAAUUAAGAAAAACCAAGCACAGUCUUCGUUAUGUAGCGACGCUCUCGUUCGAUUUUGGCGAAAGCUGUCCAAGCCAACCGAAGAAAGCAAAAGUGUGGUGCGCCGAAGCAGCAGCAGUUGCUUUUCACGGCAAUGCCAGGGUACAUUGACAAGUUCCGAAGGAGCAGCACAGUGCAUGCCUGAGGCUGAGAACCUUCUCGUACUAAAGGAGGACUCUCAAGUUUAGCCAAGCGCUCAGUGAACUCCGCUGCCUAACACAGAAGCCACGAAUAC